CUGCUGCCUCCCGUAGGAGUUUGGGCCGUGUCUCAGUCCCAAUGUGGCCGGUCACCCUCUCAGGCCGACUGCUGAUCGUCGCCUUGGUAAGCCGUUACCCCACCAACUAGCUAAUCAGACGCAGACUCAUCUAAAAGCGGGAGCAUUGUUAAGAGGCCUCCUUUCCUAAACAGAAGAUGCCUUCCGUUUAGCUUAUCCGGUAUUAGCAGUCGUUUCCAACUGUUGUCCCAGUCUUUAAGGUAGAUUAUCUACGCGUUACU
rnacentral:rRNA from 1 species